rnacentral:rRNA from 1 species
AACGAACGCUGGCGGCAGGCUUAACACAUGCAAGUCGAACGCGAACGCACCUUCGGGUGUUAUUAGAGUGGCAGACGGGUGCGUAACACGUGGGAAUCUACCUAAUUCUACGGAAUAGCCAUUGGAAACGAUGAUUAAUACCGUAUACGCCCUACGGGGGAAAGAUUUAUCGGAAUUAGAUGAGCCCGCGGCUGAUUAGUUUGUUGGUGGGGUAAUGGCCUACCAAGACUACGAUCAGUAGCUGGUCUGAGAGGAUGAUCAGCCACACUGGAACUGAGACACGGUCCAGACUCCUACGGGAGGCAGCAGUGGGGAAUAUUGCACAAUGGGCGCAAGCCUGAUGCAGCCAUGCCGCGUGAGUGACGAAGGCCUUAGGGUUGUAAAGCUCUUUUAACGGGGAAGAUAAUGACGGUACCCGUAGAAUAAGCUCCGGCUAACUCCG